CGUCUCCUUGUGCUCCCCAUAGACUGUGUUCUUGACACCCACCGGGUAGAAAGAGAAAGCACAGUAUCCCUACCCCGUGUCCACGCUCAGCCUGGGCCCUUUGCCCAGUCUAUAUUGUGAAUGAAUCUGAG
ensembl:snoRNA